rnacentral:rRNA from 1 species
GACGAACGCUGGCGGCGUGCUUAACACAUGCAAGUCGAACGGAAAGGCCCUGCUUUUGUGGGGUGCUCGAGUGGCGAACGGGUGAGUAACACGUGAGUAACCUGCCCUUGACUUUGGGAUAACUUCAGGAAACUGGGGCUAAUACCGGAUAGGAGCUCCUGCUGCAUGGUGGGGGUUGGAAAGUUUCGGCGGUUGGGGAUGGACUCGCGGCUUAUCAGCUUGUUGGUGGGGUAGUGGCUUACCAAGGCUUUGACGGGUAGCCGGCCUGGGAGGGUGACCGGCCACAUUGGGACUGCGGUACGGCCCAGACGCCAACGGGAGGCAACAGUGGGGAAUAUUGCACAAUGGGCGGAAGCCUGAUGCAGCAACGCCGCGGGCGGGAUGACGGCCUUCGGGUUGUAAACCGCUUUCGCCUGUGACGAAGCGUGAGUGACGGUAAUGGGUAAAGAAGCACCGGCUAACUACGUG